AUUGAACGCUGGCGGCAUGCCUUACACAUGCAAGUCGAACGGCAGCACGGGAGCAAUCCUGGUGGCGAGUGGCGAACGGGUGAGUAAUAUAACGGAACGUGCCCAGUCGUGGGGGAUAACGUAGCGAAAGCUACGCUAAUACCGCAUGCGAUCUAUGGAUGAAAGCGGGGGAUCGAAAGAACUCGCGCGAUUGUAGGGGACGAUAUCAGAUUAGGUAGUUGGUGAGGUAAAGGCUCACCAAGCCGACGAUCUGUAGCUGGUCUGAGAGGACGACCAGCCACACUGGGACUGAGACACGGCCCAGACUCCUACGGGAGGCAGCAGUGGGGAAUUUUGGACAAUGGGCGCAAGCCUGAUCCAGCAAUGCCGCGUGCAGGAUGAAGGCCUUCGGGUUGUAAACUGCUUUUGUACGGAACGAAACGGCGAGCUCUAAUACAGUUUGCUAAUGACGGUACCGUAAGAAUAAGCACCGGCUAACUACGUGCCAGCCGCCGCCGUAA
rnacentral:rRNA from 1 species